UACAGAGGUCCCGAGCGUUGUUCGGAUUCAUUGGGCGUAAAGGGUGCGUAGGCGGCGGGGCAAGUCUGAUGUGAAAUCCCGGGGCUCAACCCCGGAACUGCAUUGGAUACUGCCUUGCUAGAGUACUGGAGAGGGAACUGGAAUUUACGGUGUAGCAGUGAAAUGCGUAGAGAUCGUAAGGAAGGCCAGUGGCGAAGGCGAGUUCCUGGACAGUUACUGACGCUGAGGCGCGACAGCGUGGGGAGCAAACAGG
rnacentral:rRNA from 1 species